rnacentral:hammerhead_ribozyme from 1 species
AUCCAGAUGAAGAGCCUUAAAUAGGACGAAAUGCUCAUCCUGGAU